CUCGCUCGCUCGCUCGCCCACGCGCGGGGAACAGGGCACCCGCCAGGUGGGAAGGGGACACGGUACGAGAGCCACGCGCGAGGACCGACCCCCGGUCCAGCCUCCACCCGCCUGGCUCCCCCACCCCACCCCACCCCGCCCCCACCCGCUCAAGCGGGGGGAGGCGCCGGGGGUGGGAGGCAGAAGGGAACACAGACGGGCGGCGGCACGGGGAAGCACGAGCCGGCGGGCACGGGGACGGGCGGGCGGGGCGGGGCGCGGCAGGGAAAGGCGCACAACGACGACCAGGCCGAGAGACCCCACCGGCCGGGGGGAACGCACGCCCCACGACCGACGGGUGGCUGGAAGCCGGGCGCCCAACCCCCUGGAGCGACACCAAAACCCCGCGGGCUCGGGGGCACGAGGCACCGCGCGGCCACAGCCCGGGGGGAAGCGCGCGGCGGCGGAAGGACACCGCGGCGUCCCGCGGGCCACCACCGGGGCACGCAUCCCCGGGGCGCGGCCACGCGCGCGACACGGCCUCGGGGCGAGCCGCCCGCCCCGACAGGGCGAGGCGUUGUUUGGGGGGGCGCGGGGCGCGGAAGGAACCCCAGGCGGCGCGGCGGACCGCGGCAGGGAGCCGGCCGGACACCGCCGCCACCGCCGCCGCGUUGGGGGCGCGCGGCAAACGGGAGGCGGCGGCGGCCCGGACUCGACCCCCCGACCGAUAUCGCGCGGGCUCCCAGCCGCGCGGCGCGGGGACUCGGCCCGACGCCCCCACCCCACCCCCGGCGAAACACACCAUGCCCAAAAGACCGCUUGCGGCGCGAGGAGGCUCCCAAAGGGACGGCGGCGGCCAAGGCCAACGGCCUCGGCGCGAGCCCUCUGGUCCGUCUCUUCCCUCUCACGGGCGGCGCGCGCCCCCCCAAGGCCUCGCAGCCGCCGCCGCCCGCCCCCAGCCAACCCACCCCACCGUCCCACACGCGCUCCGUCAAGCGAGCGGGCGGCGGGGGCAGGGCGUGGGGGGGGGUGGGG
rnacentral:lncRNA from 9 species